CACCGAGCGGCGGGUAGAAUC
rnacentral:snRNA from 1 species